UUGUCAUAUCUCACGAACUAUUGACCCAAUCGAGCUGAAACUCAGCGCGUUGCUGAGUUUCAGCUCGAUUGGGUCAAUAGUUCGUGAGAUAUGACA